rnacentral:lncRNA from 1 species
CCUGCAUCCUGAAUAUGUUCAUGAGGAUGGAAUUAUGUCAAACUCAAACACAUAUUCAUAUCGAUUCUCAAUUAAUCAAUGAUGAUUCUGAUGAUGAAGUAUUAGAAACUUCUUCUAAUCUCCUUCCUACUUUUGGCCAAAAGAUUUUUUUUGAGUCAUAUAGGGAUGAGAAUACACAGGAUGCGAUCUCCUCUUACUAGGAGUGAUCGAUUCCAUAUUGACCUACUCAUAACCUUCACAUAUACUAUACCAUAUUCAGAACAUCCUGUAAAUAUCUUAAUACAUGCCUGGAUAUGAACCAAAAUAUGGGUUUAUGUGCAUAAG